rnacentral:rRNA from 1 species
CAAGCGUUGUCCGGAAUUAUUGGGCGUAAAGAGCUCGUAGGUGGUUUGUUACGUCUGCUGUGAAAUCCUAGGGCUUAACCCUGGGCUUGCAGUGGAUACGGGCAGACUAGAGGUAGGUAGGGGAGAAUGGAAUUCCUGGUGUAGCGGUGAAAUGCGCAGAUAUCAGGAGGAACACCGGUGGCGAAGGCGGUUCUCUGGCCCGGUACUGACGCUGAGGUGCGAAAGCGUGGGGAGCAAACAGG